AUUGAACGCUGGCGGAAUGCUUUACACAUGCAAGUCGAGCGGCAGCGCGGGGCAACCUGGCGGCGAGCGGCGAACGGGUGAGUAAUGCAUCGGAACGUACCCCGUCGUGGGGAAUAACUACCCGAAAGGGUAGCUAAUACCGCAUACGACCUGAGGGUGAAAGCGGGGGACCGAAAGGCCUCUCGCUAUUGGAGCGGCCGAUGUCAGAUUAGGUAGUUGGUGGGGUAAAAGCCUACCAAGCCUGUGAUCUGUAGCUGGUCUGAGAGGACGACCAGCCACACUGGGACUGAGACACGGCCCAGACUCCUACGGGAGGCAGCAGUGGGGAAUUUUGGACAAUGGGCGCAAGCCUGAUCCAGCAAUGCCGCGUGCGGGAAGAAGGCCU
rnacentral:rRNA from 1 species